GGGACAACAGUUGGAAACGACUGCUAAUACCGCAUAAGCCCACGGCUCGGCAUCGACCAGAGGGAAAAGGAGCAAUCCGCUUUGAGAUGGCCUCGCGUCCGAUUAGCUAGUUGGUGAGGUAAUGGCCCACCAAGGCGACGAUCGGUAGCCGGACUGAGAGGUUGAACGGCCACAUUGGGACUGAGACACGGCCCAGACUCCUACGGGAGGCAGCAGUGGGGAAUAUUGCACAAUGGGGGAAACCCUGAUGCAGCGACGCCGCGUGGAGGAAGAAGGUCUUCGGAUUGUAAACUCCUGUUGUUGAGGAAGAUAAUGACGGUACUCAACAAGGAAGUGACGGCUAACUACGUGCCAGCAGCCGCGGUAAAACGUAGGUCACAAGCGUUGUCCGGAAUUACUGGGUGUAAAGGGAGCGCAGGCGGGAAGACAAGUUGGAAGUGAAAUCUAUGGGCUCAACCCAUAAACUGCUUUCAAAACUGUUUUUCUUGAGUAGUGCAGAGGUAGGCGGAAUUCCCGGUGUAGCGGUGGAAUGCGUAGAUAUCGGGAGGAACACCAGUGGCGAAGGCGGCCUACUGGGCACCAACUGACGCUGAGGCUCGAAAGUGUGGGUAGCAAACAGGAUUAGAUACCCUGGUAGUCCACACCGUAAA
rnacentral:rRNA from 1 species